AGUUCUUUGACAGCAUUGAUACCGAUUUCAUUUCAUUUAACUGUAAACAAUAUGAAAUGAUCUUACCCCAAGGAAAGAUGAAAGUGCUUCUAACUAAGUGGAUAUAUCUCGCAAAUUCAAGACAGCUUUCAAAUGGUUCCGAUAGUAAAUACUUAAUUCUUGAUGUGACAAUUAAAUAAUUAUCUUAUAAUUGAAAAUAACGCUACAAAAUGGUAUAUAAAGACUAGCACUGGCUCUAAGGCAUAUUUGGUAAAGGUAAACCAGCUGUACCGGAAUACCGCAGUUGUUCGCUUUCUAGUUGUGGUAGAUAAAGAGUUCACAUAAUGAAGGUUCAAACCUUUGUUCUUCUCUGGGCAUGUUUCCUCUGUGGAUCAUUUGCAGAUUUCGACAGCGAUAAUAGCGCAAAGCCAUGUGAAUUGGCUCAUAAAGGUGAAAAUAUUGAGUUUCCGAAAGAGUUUUCGUUCGGCGUGUCAACGGCGGCUUAUCAAAUUGAAGGUGCAUGGAAUGAGGAUGGCAAAGCACCUUCCGUCUGGGAUACUUAUACCCAUGAACACCCCGAAAAAAUUCGUGAUAAUUCUUCAGGAGAUGAUGCCGCAGAAUCUUACCAUCGUUUCGAUCAAGAUUUGGCAGCAUUGAAGGAGCUUAAAGUGAACUUCUAUCGGUUUUCUAUUUCAUGGUCCAGGGUGCUGCCCAACGGAGAUACGUCAGUAAAAAAUCAAAAAGGAAUCGAUUACUAUAAUAUGGUAAUCGAUAAGCUCCUACAGAACAAUAUCAAGCCUAUGGUGACAAUGUUCCAUUACGAUAUGCCCGAAUCGUUUAAUGAGUUCGGCGGCUUCACAAAUAGCUCAGUUAUUGAUUAUUUCGAGGAAUACGCUUCUUUCUUGUAUGAAACUUUUGGUGAUCGUGUCAAAUUAUGGAUCACAUUUAAUGAGCCCUAUGUAUUUUGUGGAAGAGGAUAUGGUGAUGCUAUGUAUCCUCCACUGGUGCACAACCCUGGUGUUGGGGACUAUAUUUGUAUGGAUUAUUUAUUGCGAUCACAUGCACUGGCUUAUCGUUCGUAUAGAGAGAAAUAUUACAAUUCCCAAAAGGGCAAAGUAGGUAUUUCCAUUAAUACACGCUUUUUCUUUGGAAAAAAUGGUCAAUCUUCUCAAGAGCCCGUGGACCGCGCAAUGCAGUAUGAGCUUGGUUGGUUGGCUGAUCCAAUUUAUAGUACAGGAAAUUAUCCAGCUGGCAUGAUACAAGACAUCGGUGAAAACAGUAAAAUAGAGGGGUUAGCAGAGUCACGUCUGCCUGUCAUAAACAGUACCUGGUCCGAAAUUAUCAAAGGAUCUGGUGAUUUUCUAGCAGUUAAUUAUUAUACUUCCAAUUAUGUUGAAAUAGCUACACCCCCCGGAGGUGAAGUACCAUCUAGGGAAUACGAUUCAAAAAUAAAGCUUUCACUUGAUGAUAAAUGGAGACGCGCCAAAUCUGAAUGGCUAUACUGCGUACCGCAAGGACUUGAAGAUCUAUUGAAAUGGAUUCGUGACUACUACAACAACGUUGAAGUAUUGGUAACGGAGAACGGUUGGAGCGACGGUGGACAAUUAGAGGACCCUCAACGUAUCGACUAUCUUAGGGCUCAUUUGCAAGCCGUUCUCAACGCAAUAAAUGAUGGAUGUAAUGUCACACACUAUACUCACUGGAGUGUAAUAGAUAAUUUCGAAUGGAAUAUGGGAUACACUGAGAAGUUUGGUCUCUAUUAUGUCAAUAUGACAAGUGCCAACAAAGAGCGCAUUCCCAAGAAAUCAGCCUCAGUUUACACGAGCGUGAUAGAAAGCCAUAGAAUUCCGGUGGCGAGCGGAGCACUUUCUCUUCGUCCCUGCGGCUUGAGCUAUAUAGUAGUUAGUCUAGUCAGUGUAUAUAUGACAGUAAGAGUAUUGUUUAAUUAAUUGAAGAUUUGUGAGUUCCGUAAUGUUUCAAAAUAAACGGAUGUAUUCGAAUUGAUAUUACUAUUUUACUCUUCACUUUGAUACUUCUUACUCUUCAUAGUAAAGCACGUAAAUAUUUCGGAUACUAACUAGAUCCGAAGAUAGCCAACGGUUCACAACUUCGCCUAAUAAUAAAUAAUAUUUUGGACAUCUAAUGGGUGGGAUUGGGUAUGCCCCCAACAACAUAAUCUUAUCUUAUAGUGGCACUCUGGUAAAGUGUAAAUUGAAAUGAAAUCGAAAUUAUCUCAAGUGCGUUCGUGUCAAAAUGUUAUAAUAAUUCCUAAUUCUUGCAUGUUUUCAUUCGAUAACGCAAAAAAAUUAUCAACCACUCAAAAAUUGAAAGUGCAAAUGCGUCCAAGUACGACAUUUUUAACGUCAUUCGACAAUUAGUGAAUUCACAAAAUAUAUUCAAAUUAGUUAGUUAGUUUGACAUUCCUCUACAUUCCUUUCUUUAAAGUUGUUUACAUUUAAUUUCACAUAAUGAAGUUCAGGGAAAGCCUGCCACAGUAUAUUUCAAAAUAAAUACUCGCAGAAGGGAAAGUGUUCUCUCUUGCAGUCUCAUUCUUAAUAAUUCUUAUCAGUUGUUCAGUGAGUCAGUGAGUCAGUCAGUCAGCGAAAGCCGACAUAUCAAGCCACAAACUGUAAACAGGAACUGAUUGUUCAAAUAUGAUCGGGGCUACGAAGCUGCGAUCGUUUGAAAAUUAAAACACAGAGAGAUGCACUCGAUCCUCAGCUACAAAUUUCAGCGCACCAAGAAUAAUUUGUUCCAAGUGUUUUUGCAUUAAAUGCAAGCAUGCAACUCAUUACUCAUUACCAAGUCACAUUCCAUUGUGACUUGUGAGCACCAAUGAGUAGCCGUCAAAACUGGAAAAAGAUAAGAAAUAGCUGACUUGAUGAUUUAUUCAGUGGUAUUUCUCCCGCUUCUAGGUGCAGUGAUAAUGCAAGCUGAGAUGAAGGAGCUACAUGUACUUCUUUUGUGCUUAUUGAUCUCAUGUGCAUCGAUUGCUAAAUCACAAUACGUUCACGAAUAUGACGACUGUAGUUUAGACCAUAAAGGAAAUUAUUCGAAAUUUCCGAAAGAGUUUUUCUUUGGCGUGUCCACGGCCGCUUACCAGGUCGAAGGUGCUUGGAAUGAAGAUGGAAAAGGACCCUCCGUUUGGGAUACAUACACCCACUUGCAUCCGGAACGGAUCG